rnacentral:rRNA from 1 species
AGAGUUUGAUCCUGGCUCAGGACGAACGCUGGCGGUGUGCUUCACACAUGCAAGUCGAGCGAAUGAAGUAGGUAGCUUGCUACUUAUGGAUUUAGCGGCGGACGGGUGAGUAAUAUAUAGGAAUCUGCCCUAGAGCGGGGAACAACAGACCGAAAGGUUUGCUAAUGCCCCAUAGGUACGCAGUCUUCGGAUUGUUUAUUAAAGGAGUAAUCCACUCUAGGAUGAGCCUGUAUCCGAUUAGCUAGUUGGCGGGGUAAAGGCCCACCAAGGCUACGAUCGGUAGUUGGUCUGAGAGGAUGAUCAGCCACAAUGGGACUGAGACACGGCCCAUACUCCUACGGGAGGCAGCAGUGGGGAAUUUUACACAAUGGGGGAAACCCUGAUGUAGCGACACCGCGUGAACGAAGAAGCCUUUUGGGGUGUAAAGUUCUGUCGGCUGGAACGAAAAAAAUGACGGUACCAGCAAAGGAAGCAUCGGCUAACUACGUGCCAGCAGCCGCGGUAAGACGUAGGAUGCAAGCGUUGUCCGGAUUUAUUGGGCGUAAAGAGUUCGUAGGCGGUCAUUUAAGUCUGAUGUUAAAUACUGUGGCCCAACCACAGAACUGCAUUGGAUACUGGAUGACUUGAGUGCGGUAGAGGCAAGUGGAAUUCCCAGUGUAGCGGUGAAAUGCGUAGA